rnacentral:snRNA from 1 species
GUGUUUGCUUUGGUAGCACAUAUACUAAAGUUGUAAUGUUACAGAGAAGAUUAGCAUGGCCCCUGCACAAGGAUAACACACAAAUUCAUGAAGCGUUCCAUAUUUUU